GCCGGGAUAGCUCAGUUGGUAGAGCAGAGGACUGAAAAUCCUCGUGUCACCGGUUCAAAUCCGGUUCCUGGCA
rnacentral:tRNA from 53 species